GCCUCGCUAGCUCAACUGGCUAGAGCAAUUGACUCUUAAUCAAUAGGUUCGGGGUUCGAGUCCCUGGCGGGGCACUA
rnacentral:tRNA from 1 species